rnacentral:rRNA from 1 species
AGAGUUUGAUCCUGGCUCAGAAUCAACGCUGGCGGCGUGCCUAACACAUGCAAGUCGAACGAGAAAGUGGAGCAAUCCAUGAGUAAAGUGGCGCACGGGUGAGUAACACGUGACUAACCUACCCUUGAGUGGGGAAUAACUUCGGGAAACCGAGGCUAAUACCGCAUAACACCUACGGGUCAAAGGAGCAAUUCGCUUAAGGAGGGGGUCGCGGCAGAUUAGUUAGUUGGCGGGGUAAUGGCCCACCAAGACGGUGAUCUGUAUCCGGCCUGAGAGGGCGCACGGACACACUGGAACUGAAACACGGUCCAGACUCCUACGGGAGGCAGCAGUGGGGAAUUUUGCGCAAUGGGGGAAACCCUGACGCAGCAACGCCGCGUGGAGGAUGAAGUCCCUUGGGACGUAAACUCCUUUCGAUCGGGACGAUUAUGACGGUACCGGAAGAAGAAGCCCCGGCUAACUUCGUGCCAGCAGCCGCGGUAAUACGAGGGGGGCGAGCGUUGUUCGGAAUUAUUGGGCGUAAAGGGCGCGUAGGCGGUCGGAUAAGUCUUGUGUGAAAUCUCCGGGCUCAACUCGGAGUCUGCACGAGAAACUAUCUGGCUUGAGUGUGGGAGAGGUGAGUGGAAUUCCUGGUGUAGCGGUGAAAUGCGUAGAUAUCAGGAGGAACACCUGUGGCGAAAGCGGCUCACUGGACCACAACUGACGCUGAGGCGCGAAAGCUAGGGGAGCAAACAGGAUUAGAUACCCUGGUAGUCC